AUGGGCUACUCUCCUGAGGAAUGUCUGAGCAUUGCUAACCGCCUCAACUGCCGUUUGGGCUCCUUUCCCACGACCUACUUGGGAACGGCCAUUAGCGAUUCUAGGCUCACCGUCGCGGACUUGCCGGCUGUGGCCAAGCUAUAUACGCGCAUUGAGCCCUGGCAGGGCAGGUGGCUUUCGAAGGCGGCCCGGACGAUCCUUAUCAACUCCUCCCUCUCCAGCCUCCUCUUGUUCCUCAUGAGCUUAUACAGCCUUCACGAGACUCUGCACCAUGAGAUCGCCAAAGUCCAGUCUCGUUUCUACUGGGCUGGCGACAACAAUAAGCAGAAAUACCAUAUGGUUAGCUGGCCUGACAUAUGCAAGCCUCGGGACCAAGGAGGACUAGGUAUCAUGUGCUCGAAGAGCAUGAAUAUUGCGCUCCUAUCCCGAUGGCUUUGGCGCAUUUCGCAAGGGCAAGGCGGCCUCUGGUUAGAUAUAAUCCGGAGCAAGUACCUGCGCCGACAACCCCUCGCUUUCUGUGAGCGCUCAGGCGGCUCCCAGUUUUGGCAGUCGAUUAUCCAACUCCUCCCGGUCCUCCGCAUUGGGACAUCCAUCUCGGUUGGUUCGGGUUCUGCGACCUUGUUCUGGUUCGACCGUUGGGCUGGUGAUUCCCCCUUCGCGGCGCGAUUCCCCGACCUCUUCUCCAUCGCUGUUGACCCAACCAUCUCCGUCGAGAGGGCCCUUAUUGAGUUAGGGCGCCUCGCCUUCCGGAGACCGUUCGUUCCUCCAGAAUCCGCCGCCUGGCGCGAAUUGCUUGAUUGCAUCGCCCUUCACGAACCGGCCGUCGACUCGGGCCCGGACCAGGUUAGGUGGCGUCUUGAGCCUUCCGGCCAAUUCUCCACCAAGUCCCUCUACCAGGACAUUGCUCCCUCCAUCGCUCCUCCCCCCUCCCGGCGGUAUGGUCCAUCCGUCUGA
rnacentral:rRNA from 1 species